UACGCCUAACACAUGCAAGUCGAACGGUAACAUUUCUAGCUUGCUAGAAGAUGACGAGUGGCGGACGGGUGAGUAAUGCUUGGGAACUUGCCUUUGCGAGGGGGAUAACAGUUGGAAACGACUGCUAAUACCGCAUAAUGUCUUCGGACCAAACGGGGCUCCGGCUCCGGCGCAAAGAGAGGCCCAAGUGAGAUUAGCUAGUUGGUAAGGUAACGGCUUACCAAGGCGACGAUCUCUAGCUGUUCUGAGAGGAAGAUCAGCCACACUGGGACUGAGACACGGCCCAGACUCCUACGGGAGGCAGCAGUGGGGAAUAUUGCACAAUGGGGGAAACCCUGAUGCAGCCAUGCCGCGUGUGUGAAGAAGGCCUUCGGGUUGUAAAGCACUUUCAGUUGUGAGGAAAAGUUAGUAGUUAAUACCUGCUAGCCGUGACGUUAACAACAGAAGAAGCACCGGCUAACUCCGUGCCAGCAGCCGCGGUAAUACGGAGGGUGCGAGCGUUAAUCGGAAUUACUGGGCGUAAAGCGCACGCAGGCGGUUUGUUAAGCUAGAUGUGAAAGCCCCGGGCUCAACCUGGGAUGGUCAUUUAGAACUGGCAGACUAGAGUCUUGGAGAGGGGAGUGGAAUUCCAGGUGUAGCGGUGAAAUGCGUAGAUAUCUGGAGGAACAUCAGUGGCGAAGGCGACUCCCUGGCCAAAGACUGACGCUCAUGUGCGAAAGUGUGGGUAGCGAACAGGAUUAGAUACCCUGGUAGUCCACACCGUAAACGCUGUCUACUAGCUGUGUGUGCCUUUAAGG
rnacentral:rRNA from 1 species